UCUAUAUCUAGCCUGAAACAUUUUGUUUUGUCCUUCGGUUGACCGUCUGCGCCAGUGAAAGGCAUCCUUGUGAAGAAGUGCCCCUUUGCUCCUGUGGUUACCAGUACUGUUCCACAGUUACCAAGGGUGAUGCUAUUAUAUUGCUCCAGCCACUCUGUGCACCCUGUUGAGUAAUUUAUUGGCCAAGAUCCUAACAGUGAAAAGGCCUGUCUAGAAUCCUGCUGAAUUUUAAAAGGUAGGAAUAUUGCACUUCAUAACAAGCAGCCAUUAAUGAUAACCAACAAUAUAAUUCUUAUGGAAUUAUGCCUUGCAUAUGCAUGAAAUUCCCAAGCAUAAUAAAAAGCAAACGAAGGAAGUUAACCUCUUGUGUGCUGUGCUUCCUGGUACAUAAUUACAGUGUAGUGGAAAGAGCAUGACCCUGUAUCUGUCCAACAUUAUAAUUAGCAUUCCCCAUACUGAAGGCUAUUGUCUGGAGGACAGUUUUGUCUCUCCUCUGUUCUGACUUGUGCAAAAUUAUACCCUUAAAUGUGAGUUCAUGGCCCUUUCUCAAAGCCAGUCUUUUGUUUUCAGUGUAGCCCCAAAAUCAAUGGACUGGCAGGAUGUGCAGCAUACACCCACAGGUUAAUAAGUAAUGAUUAAUCUGACAGCAGAAGAUGCCAAGAGCGACUAGAUUAUUAUCUCUUCAGGCUUGGUCUAGGUAUCCAGCAAAGACACAAAGGCAUGAGCCCACAAGAGAUGCAGAAAGUCUUAAUGCCUUCACAGAGGGAUUCAUCAUCACAAAUCAUCUUUGCAUCACCUGAGGAAAGAGGCCCAGACUGGUGUCAUCAGGAAAACAGUGGCAAAGGUCCUAGAAAAUGUUUUCUUCAGAACAGUGUCCAGUCUUUCUGAUCAAAAACGUGAUGUACUUUCUUCCAUGAGAUGAAGGAUCAUGAAUGCUGCCUUUGCUCAUCAAGAGUGGAGGAUAGUUAAUUCAAAUAGCCUGGGUUGCCUUGGCAGGGGCUUCAAGGCCUCUCCAUGGUAGCCAGGUAGCCAGGAUGGAGAUGUCUGGGAGAUGUUACUUGAGCUCAAAAUUUGAGAAUCUCUGCUAUUUCCAUACCAGAAUGUGCGAGCUCCUUUUCCUUGGAGAGCAGAAGUGGACAGUUUUACCUUCAGUCACAGGCGAAAGAGACAACCAAAUCAAGACCCGAGUGAUUAAGGUCAGAGGGGGCAACUUUCAGUUUCUAAAAGGACUGCUAAUGUCAUGGAUAAUUUUUAUCUGCCUUCUCAUCUCAUUCUUUUUGUUUGUGAUCCUCGAGUCUGCACAAAGACUGUAAAACUGUAUUACAUACUCUGACACCAGCUACUUGCUUAAGACAGUACUUGAUAAACAAAUGCAGAAGGUGAUGAACAUAAAGGUUCUACAAAGUUUAUCUUUCAACUUCUUAAGGAGGCAAUGCCUAAGACUGCCAGGUUUUCUCAAAAAAAUACUCAGUAGUUCACCAAGCCUAGUUAAGCCAUUUAGGCAUCCUAAAUUGCAUAAGGACUCCCUAAUAGUCUUUAUUUGUUCUCUUUUUUUAAUUAUUAUUUUAUUUCAUUCAUUUAAACUGAGAUGCUUUUCUUCAGACGGAAGAACAGACAGCAGAGAGAUACAAAGUUUCCUGAGUUUCUGUUAUAUAGUGGAGUGCGUAAAUGUUUGGAGCUGCAAAACUGUGUAAAGGGACUUGAUUACACAAAUACAUUAAACAUCUCUUAAAAUAUUCUGAAAUUAUAUUUUAUUAGCCACACAAUUAAAGGAAAAAAAAAAAGAUCAUCUUGUUUGAGUGCCCAUGGUCUAUUCUAUUUGCAAAAAAACAUGUUUUUUGAAAAGGGAGAAUGGAAAAUGAUUAUGAUAUAAGCCUAAAUCCAGGUAACUAUGCUGGACUUCUAGUUGUCUCAUGAGAUAUAACCCAGGGACAUUUGACAUUUGUCCUCUAAACCUUACCCCAGCUUUCACACAGUUGUGUGUUUCCCUUGAGCCAGACAGAUCUAAGUUGUCAAUUAAUGGAUAAUGUAAGUUUACUUAGAUGUCAUGUAAUGCUGUUAUCCAUGUGGAAAUACAUCAAAUGUCCUAGUUUGCUCUAAAGGCUAUGGCACUCAGUAAAAAUCUUCUCCCAUGGGAAGCCAAGGCUUGACAAAUGCCUGAGGAUUAGACAUAGUCAGCCAUCUCUUUGUGAUGCAAAAUGACAUAAUCUUUGACUUCUUCAAGUAGUAUUACUCUUUUAUUUUCUCCAAAUAAAGAAUCAAAUUCCAGGUAUGCAAACAGUUUUAAGUUAUAUAAAUUUGUUAUUGAAUAAAGAGGCCUUGCUAAAUCCCAGGUACUGAAGAAAUGCAAUAGUUGAAACACCUGCUUAAAAAAUUUAAUAAAUU